GUGCUGGGAUUACAGAUGGGAGCCACUGCGCCCGGCCGAAUCCCUGCUGUUCUGUUCUCAGGGCAUCCAGCACCCUUUAUGCCAUUUUGUGGAUAUGAAGUGAUAACCAGUGUGUUGGAUAUACGUGUUGUUUUUUCUAGAUGUCCUAUUAUUGAUAAAAAAGCGUGCUCCAUCACCACUUCCCAAGAUGGCUGAUGUCUCAGCAGAAGAAAAGAAAAAACAAGACCAGAAAGCUCCAGAUAA
rnacentral:lncRNA from 10 species